GGAGGGGUCAUGGCUCAGGGGUGGAGCAUUUGCUUGGCAUGCAGAAGGUGCCAGGUUCAAUCCCCAACACCUUCA
rnacentral:tRNA from 1 species